GACGAACGCUGGCGGCGUGCCUAAUACAUGCAAGUCGAACGAACUCUGGUAUUGAUUGGUGCUUGCAUCAUGAUUUACAUUUGAGUGAGUGGCGAACUGGUGAGUAACACGUGGGAAACCUGCCCAGAAGCGGGGGAUAACACCUGGAAACAGAUGCUAAUACCGCAUAACAACUUGGACCGCAUGGUCCGAGUUUGAAAGAUGGCUUCGGCUAUCACUUUUGGAUGGUCCCGCGGCGUAUUAGCUAGAUGGUGAGGUAACGGCUCACCAUGGCAAUGAUACGUAGCCGACCUGAGAGGGUAAUCGGCCACAUUGGGACUGAGGCACGGCCCAAACUCCUACGGGAGGCAGCAGUAGGGAAUCUUCCACAAUGGACGAAAGUCUGAUGGAGCAACGCCGCGUGAGUGAAGAAGGGUUUCGGCUCGUAAAACUCUGUUGUUAAAGAAGAACAUAUCUGAGAGUAACUGUUCAGGUAUUGACGGUAUUUAACCAGAAAGCCACGGCUAACUACGUGCCAGCAGCCGCGGCAAUACGUAGGUGGCAAGCGUUGUCCGGAUUUAUUGGGCGUAAAGCGAGCGCAGGCGGUUUUUUAAGUCUGAUGUGAAAGCCUUCGGCUCAACCGAAGAAGUGCAUCGGAAACUGGGAAACUUGAGUGCAGAAGAGGACAGUGGAACUCCAUGUGUAGCGGUGAAAUGCGUAGAUAUAUGGAAGAACAUCAGUGGCGAAGGCGGCUGUCUGGUCUGUAACUGACGCUGAGGCUCGAAAGUAUGGGUAGCAAACAGGAUUAGAUACCCUGGUAGUCCAUACCGUAAACGAUGAAUGCUAAGUGUUGGAGGGUUUCCGCCCUUCAGUGCUGCAGCUAACGCAUUAAGCAUUCCGCCUGGGGAGUACGGCCGCAAGGCUGAAACUCAAAGGAAUUGACGGGGGCCCGCACAAGCGGUGGAGCAUGUGGUUUAAUUCGAAGCUACGCGAAGAACCUUACCAGGUCUUGACAUACUAUGCAAAUCUAAGAGAUUAGACGUUCCCUUCGGGGACAUGGAUACAGGUGGUGCAUGGUUGUCGUCAGCUCGUGUCGUGAGAUGUUGGGUUAAGUCCCGCAACGAGCGCAACCCUUAUUAUCAGUUGCCAGCAUUAAGUUGGGCACUCUGGUGAGACUGCCGGUGACAAACCGGAGGAAGGUGGGGAUGACGUCAAAUCAUCAUGCCCCUUAUGACCUGGGCUACACACGUGCUACAAUGGAUGGUACAACGAGUUGCGAACUCGCGAGAGUAAGCUAAUCUCUUAAAGCCAUUCUCAGUUCGGAUUGUAGGCUGCAACUCGCCUACAUGAAGUCGGAAUCGCUAGUAAUCGCGGAUCAGCAUGCCGCGGUGAAUACGUUCCCGGGCCUUGUACACACCGCCCGUCACACCAUGAGAGUUUGUAACACCCAAAGUCGGUGGGGUAACCUUUUAGGAACCAGCCGCCUAAGGUGGGACAGAUGAUUAGGGUG
rnacentral:rRNA from 1 species